UACGUAGGUGGCAAGCGUUGUCCGGAUUUAUUGGGUUUAAAGGGUGCGUAGGCGGCUUUGUAAGUCAGUGGUGAAAUACUCCAGCUUAACUGGAGGGGUGCCAUUGAUACUGCGGAGCUUGAGUACAGAUGAGGUAGGCGGAAUUGACGGUGUAGCGGUGAAAUGCAUAGAUAUGUCACAGAACACCAAUUGCGAAGGCAGCUUACUAAAGUAUGAUUGACGCUGAGGCACGAAAGCGUGGGGAUCAAACAGG
rnacentral:rRNA from 1 species